rnacentral:rRNA from 1 species
CGGAGGGUGCAAGCGUUAUCCGGAUUCACUGGGUUUAAAGGGUGCGUAGGUGGGUUGGUAAGUCCGUGGUGAAAUCCCCAAGCUUAACUUGGGAACUGCCGUGGAUACUAUCAAUCUUGAAUAUCGUUGAGGUAAGCGGAAUAUGUCAUGUAGCGGUGAAAUGCUUAGAUAUGACAUAGAACACCGAUAGCGGAGGCAGCUUGCUAAGCGAUUAUUGACACUGAGGCACGAAAGCGUGGGGAGCAAACAGGAUUAGAUACCCUGGUAGUCCACGCCCUAAACGAUGAUUACUCGACAUACGCGAUACACAGUGUGUGUCUGAGCGAAAGCAUUAAGUAAUCCACCAGGGAAGUACGAUCGCAAGAUUG